GGGGCCUUGGCGCAAUGGUAGCGUGUGUGAUUCCAGUCCACAAGGUUGUCUGUUCGAGUCAGGCAGGCCUCA
rnacentral:tRNA from 1 species